rnacentral:rRNA from 1 species
AGUCGGACGGGAUUGAGGAGCUUGCUUCUCAUGAGAGUGGCGCACGGGUGCGUAACACGUAUGUAACCUACCUUGUUCAGGGGGAUAGCCUCUCGAAAGAGAGAUUAGCACCGCAUAAAAUCAAUUUAUGGCAUCAUAGAAUGAUCAAAUAUUUAUAGGAACAAGAUGGGCAUGCGGAACAUUAGCUAGUUGGUAAGGUAACGGCUUACCAAGGCUACGAUGUUUAGGGGAUCUGAGAGGAUGACCCCCCACACUGGUACUGAGACACGGACCAGACUCCUACGGGAGGCAGCAGUAAGGAAUAUUGGUCAAUGGACGCAAGUCUGAACCAGCCAUGCCGCGUGCAGGAAGACGGCCCUACGGGUUGUAAACUGCUUUUGUACCGGAAUAAACCUUUUCACGUGUGAGAAGCUGAAUGUACGGUAAGAAUAAGGAUCGGCUAACUCCGUGCCAGCAGCCGCGGUAAUACGGAGGAUCCAAGCGUUAUCCGGAUUUAUUGGGUUUAAAGGGUGCGUAGGUGGCCUAUUAAGUCAGGGGUGAAAGACGGUAGCUUAACUAUCGCAGUGCCUUUGAUACUGAUGGGCUUGAAUACACUUGAGGUAGGCGGAAUGUGACAAGUAGCGGUGAAAUGCAUAGAUAUGUCACAGAACACCAAUUGCGAAGGCAGCUUACUAAAGUGUUAUUGACACUGAGGCACGAAAGCGUGGGGAUCAAACAGGAUUAGAUACCCUGGUAGUCCACGCCCUAAACGAUGAAUACUCGAUGUUGGCGAUAUACGGUCAGCGUCUAAGCGAAAGCGUUAAGUAUUCCACCUGGGGAGUACGCCCGCAAGGGUGAAACUCAAAGGAAUUGACGGGGGCCCGCACAAGCGGA